GAACGCUGGCGGCGUGCUUAACACAUGCAAGUCACGGGGGCCCGCAAGGGUAACCGGCGAACGGGUGCGUAACACGUGAACAAUCUGCCUAGAUGUGGGGGAUAGCCGGCCCAACGGCCGGGUAAUACCGCAUACGCUCACCGGGUGGCAUCACCUGGUGAGGAAACCUCCGGGGCAUCUAGAGGAGUUCGCGGCCUAUCAGCUAGUUGGUGGGGUAACGGCCUACCAAGGCGAUGACGGGUAGCUGGUCUGAGAGGAUGGCCAGCCACAUUGGGACUGAGAUACGGCCCAGACUCCUACGGGAGGCAGCAGUGGGGAAUAUUGCGCAAUGGCCGAAAGGCUGACGCAGCGACGCCGCGUGGGGGAUGAAGCAUUUCGGUGUGUAAACCCCUGUUGCCCGGGACGAACAACUGGAUUCUUCCAGUCUGACGGUACCGGGUGAGGAAGCACCGGCUAACUCCGUGCCAGCAGCCGCGGUAAUACGGAGGGUGCGAGCGUUGUCCGGAAUCACUGGGCGUAAAGGGCGCGUAGGCGGUCUGCUAAGCGUGCGGUGAAAGCCCGGGGCUCAACCCCGGGUCUGCCGUGCGAACUGGUGGACUAGAGCACUGUAGAGGCGAGUGGAAUUCCGGGUGUAGCGGUGGAAUGCGUAGAGAUCCGGAAGAACACCGGUGGCGAAGGCGGCUCGCUGGGCAGUAGCUGACGCUGAGGCGCGAUAGCGUGGGGAGCAAACAGGAUUAGAUACCCUGGUAGUCCACGCCGUAAACGAUGGGGACUAGGUGCUUGGGGGAACGAC
rnacentral:rRNA from 1 species